AGCUAACAUCUUCUCUGCUGUGCCAAUGGACUGCUCCUAUUUGGUGGCACUUAGAGAAUUUUUAAGCGGUUUCUUUCUGCUCUUUAGGCUUCAGGAUAUAGGCUGGUGGAAGGACAAUCCUAUCCUUGUGUUCAUUUGGCAGUUGUUGAAUUUCUAGCAUCUGCCAGGCUCUGCAGAAAGAAGAUAAGGAGGGAGGAAAGGAGAGCUAAAAAUCCAACUUAGCUUUUCUUCUGAGAGAGCCUAGCCACCUCUAGGAGUAGUCAGAUAACACCCUCCAAAGAAGGUGUGGUCUGCUUGAAAUGGAAGAUUCUUUGAGAUUAACCUUAUUGUCUGUCCCUGCCCCUCCCCCCUCCCACCACCCUACCCCAUCCCACAAGGCUAGCCUGACAAGUAAGAUUUCAGUGACAAUAACAGCUCCUCCCUUUUCUCCACUCCUGUACCAAAAGAAAUGUACUUAUUGAUGCUAUCUAAAAUUCCUUUGACUAGUGAUUAGCAGUGGAGUUUUUUAAAAACAAACAUCUCUUUUUAGCCUUUUAUUUUUUAAUGUUCUUGGCCGUGCUAUGCAGCAUGCAGCAUAUAGGAUCUUAGUUCCCCAAAAUGUGAAAGUGAAGUCACUCAGUUGUGUCCGACUCUUUGCUACCCCAUGGAAUUUUUCAGGCCAGAAUACUGGAGUGGGUAGCUGUUUCCUUCUCCAGGGGACCUUCCCAACCCGGGGAUCGAACCCAGGUCUCCCACAUUGCAGGCGGAUUCUUAACCAGCUGAGCCACAAGGGAAGCCCCUAGUUCCCCAACCAGGGAUCAAAUCCACACCCCUUGCAUUGGAAGCUCGAAGAUUCAACCACUGGACCGCCAGGGAAGUUCCUAGAAGUGGAAUUUUUUUAAGCUACAAUGUCCAAGAUGUAGAGAGUCAACCAUGGAACUGAAAAUGCAGAAUUUUAAAUUCUCAUAGAAGACUUGGGGACCCUGAGGAUAUGCCAAAGGUCAGACAACCUUAUUACAGAAACACUGUUACAGUCUUGUGUGAAAAACACCAGGACACCUCCAUGACUUGGGAAAAUAAGUGAACAGAGUAGAAAUGUCCUGCUCUGUGCACCAGGGAGAAUGGGCAGAUUAAAGGGAAGACAAAAAUCUAUAUCAACUUCCUGAUACUGCUGGAAGUUACCUCAAAGUUAGCAGCUUAUAGCAACACGAAUGUAUUAUCUUCUACUUCUGAGGUCAGAAGUCUAAAAUGUGGCAGCAGGCCUGUGUUCAUUUCUGAAAUGCUAGAGGAGAAUCCAUUUCCUUGCAUUUUCCAGUCUCUAGAGUUCACCUCGGAGAAGGCGAUGGCGACCCACUCCAGUACUCUUGCCUGGG
ensembl:lncRNA